UACAGAGGUCUCAAGCGUUGUUCGGAUUCAUUGGGCGUAAAGGGUGCGUAGGCGGCGCGGUAAGUCGGGUGUGAAAUCUCGGAGCUUAACUCAGAAACUGCCAUGGAUACUAUUUGUCUUGAAUGUUGUGGAGGUAAGCGGAAUAUGUCAUGUAGCGGUGAAAUGCUUAGAUAUGACAUAGAACACCCAUUGCGAAGGCAGCUCACUACACGAUGAUUGACACUGAGGCACGAAAGCGUGGGGAGCAAACAGG
rnacentral:rRNA from 1 species